GGAAUUUUCCGCAAUGGGCGAAAGCCUGACGGAGCAACGCCGCGUGAGGGAUGAAGGCCUCUGGGCUGUAAACCUCUUUUAUCAAGGAAGAAGAUCUGACGGUACUUGAUGAAUAAGCCACGGCUAAUUCCGUGCCAGCAGCCGCGGUAAUACGGGAGUGGCAAGCGUUAUCCGGAAUUAUUGGGCGUAAAGCGUCCGCAGGCGGUCUGUCAAGUCUGCUGUUAAAGCGUGGAGCUUAACUCCAUUUCGGCAGUGGAAACUGACAGACUAGAGUGUGGUAGGGGCAGAGGGAAUUCCCGGUGUAGCGGUGAAAUGCGUAGAUAUCGGGAAGAACACCAGUGGCGAAGGCGCUCUGCUGGGCCAUAACUGACGCUCAUGGACGAAAGCCAGGGGAGCGAAAGGGAUUAAAUACCCCAGUAGUC
rnacentral:rRNA from 1 species